rnacentral:rRNA from 1 species
ACGCUCGACACCUACGGGAGGCAGCAGUGGGGAAUAUUGGGCAAUGGGCGCAAGCCUGACCCAGCAACGCCGCGUGAGUGAUGAAGGUCUUCGGAUUGUAAAACUCUUUAAGCAGGGAAGAAGAAAGUGACGGUACCUGCAGAAUAAGCAUCGGCUAACUACGUGCCUGCAGCCGCGGUAAUCUGAGCGGGCUGGCAAGGC